UUUAAUUAUUCAUUUCUAUUUGCUUGAAGAAAUAUUCUUACACGACACGCAUAUGUCCGUGCAUUUCCUUGUUGCAGCAACAUGAAUUAAGCCGCUUUCACUCGCAGACCAAGGGGGUUGUUCUCGCUAACUUGUCCCCUCUAUACUCUCCACACUUUCUCUUCUCAGCUGAAGAAAAGGUAGUGCCUGGUAACCCGGAAGAUGUCUGGAACAAGACAGGAGGAUCUUGCCAGUGCUCCUUCAAUUAACUUUACAUUGUAUAUAAAAGUCCCCUUACUAAGGUGAUGCUGUGUCAUAGUUUCUCAAAGUAACCAGUUUACAUGAUCCAUUGUGGCUUGAAUUCUCUCCGAUACUACUAUAUAGGGUCCUCCAUGUCUUGAAUGUCUU
rnacentral:lncRNA from 1 species